rnacentral:rRNA from 1 species
GUAAGGAAUAUUGGUCAAUGGACGCAAGUCUGAACCAGCCAUGCCGCGUGAAGGAUGAAGGUCCUCUGGAUUGUAAACUUCUUUUAUCUGGGACGAAAACGGGAUUUUUAUCUCAAUUGACGGUACCAGAGGAAUAAGCACCGGCUAACUCCGUGCCAGCAGCCGCGGUAAUACGGAGGGUGCGAGCGUUAUCCGGAUUUACUGGGUUUAAAGGGUGCGUAGGUGGGCUUAUAAGUCAGUGGUGAAAUCUCCGAGCUUAACUUGGAAACUGCCGUUGAUACUAUAGGUCUUGAAUUAUCUGGAGGUAAGCGGAAUAUGUCAUGUAGCGGUGAAAUGCUUAGAUAUGACAUAGAACACCAAUUGCGAAGGCAGCUUACUACAUAUAAAUUGACGCUGAGGCACGAAAGCGUGGGGAUCAAACA